rnacentral:rRNA from 1 species
AGUGAACGCUGGCGGUAGGCCUAACACAUGCAAGUCGAACGGCAGCACAGUAAGAGCUUGCUCUUACGGGUGGCGAGUGGCGGACGAGUGAGGAAUACAUCGGAAUCUACUUUUUCGUGGGGGAUAACGUAGGGAAACUUACGCUAAUACCGCAUACGACCUACGGGUGAAAGCAGGGGAUCUUCGGACCUUGCGCGAUUGAAUGAGCCGAUGUCGGAUUAGCUAGUUGGCGGGGUAAAGGCCCACCAAGGCGACGAUCCGUAGCUGGUCUGAGAGGAUGAUCAGCCACACUGGAACUGAGACACGGUCCAGACUCCUACAGGAGGCAGCAGUGGGGAAUAUUGGACAAUGGGCGCAAGCCUGAUCCAGCCAUACCGGGUGGGUGAAGAAGGCCUUCGGGUUGUAAAGCCCUUUUGUUGGGAAAGAAAAGCAGCAGGUUAAUACCCCGCUGUUCUGACGUUACCCAAAGAAUAAGCACCGGCUAACUUCGUG